rnacentral:rRNA from 1 species
GGGGAAUUUUGGACAAUGGGCGCAAGCCUGAUCCAGCCAUGCCGCGUGAGUGAAGAAGGCCUUAGGGUUGUAAAGCUCUUUCGCCCGCGAAGAUAAUGACGGUAGCGGGAGAAGAAGCCCCGGCUAACUCCGUGCCAGCAGCCGCGGUAAUACGGAGGGGGCUAGCGUUGUUCGGAAUUACUGGGCGUAAAGCGUACGUAGGCGGAUGCGCAAGUUGGGGGUGAAAUCCCGGGGCUUAACCUCGGAAUUGCCCUCAAAACUGCACGUCUUGAGACCGAGAGAGGUAAGGGGAAUUCCUAGUGUAGAGGUGAAAUUCGUAGAUAUUAGGAAGAACACCAGUGGCGAAGGCGCCUUACUGGCUCGGUACUGACGCUGAGGUACGAAAGCGUGGGGAGCAAACA